AUUGAACGCUGGCGGCAGGCCUAACACAUGCAAGUCGAGCAGAUGAAGGGAGCUUGCUCCUGGAUUCAGCGGCGGACGGGUGAGUGAUGCCUAGGAAUCUGCCUGGUAGUGGGGGAUAACGUCCGGAAACGGGCGCUAAUACCGCAUACGUCCUGAGGGAGAAAGUGGGGGAUCUUCGGACCUCACGCUAUCAGAUGAGCCUAGGUCGGAUUAGCUAGUUGGUGGGGUAAAGGCCUACCAAGGCGACGAUCCGUAACUGGUCUGAGAGGAUGAUCAGUCACACUGGAACUGAGACACGGUCCAGACUCCUACGGGAGGCAGCAGUGGGGAAUAUUGGACAAUGGGCGAAAGCCUGAUCCAGCCAUGCCGCGUGUGUGAAGAAGGUCUUCGGAUUGUAAAGCACUUUAAGUUGGGAGGAAGGGCAGUAAGUUAAUACCUUGCUGUUUUGACGUUACCAACAGAAUAAGCACCGGCUAACUUCGUG
rnacentral:rRNA from 1 species